rnacentral:rRNA from 1 species
GUGCGUAAUAGCUCACUAGUCGAGUGACACUGCGCCGAAAAUGUACCGGGGCUAAACAUAUUACCGAAGCUGUGGAUUGUCCUUUGGACAAUGGUAGGAGAGCGUUCUAAGGGCGUCGAAGCAUGAUCGCAAGGACAUGUGGAGCGCUUAGAAGUGAGAAUGCCGGUGUGAGUAGCGAAAGACGGGUGAGAAUCCCGUCCACCGAUUGACUAAGGUUUCCAGAGGAAGGCUCGUCCGCUCUGGGUUAGUCGGGUCCUAAGCUGAGGCCGACAGGCGUAGGCGAUGGAUAACAGGUUGAUAUUCCUGUACCACCUAGUAUCGUUUUAAUCGAUGGGGGGACGCAGUAGGAUAGGCGAAGCGUGCUGUUGGAGUGCACGUCCAAGCAGUAAGGCUGAGUGUUAGGCAAAUCCGGCACUCAUAAGGCUGAGCUGUGAUGGGGAGAGGAAAUUGUUUCCUCGAGUCGUUGAUUUCACACUGCCGAGAAAAGCCUCUAGAUAGAUAACAGGUGCCCGUACCGCAAACCGACACAGGUAGUCAAGAUGAGAAUUCUAAGGUGAGCGAGCGAACUCUCGUUAAGGAACUCGGCAAAAUGACCCCGUAACUUCGGGAGAAGGGGUGCUCUUUAGGGUUCACGCCCAGAAGAGCCGCAGUGAAUAGGCCCAAGCGACUGUUUAUCAAAAACACAGGUCUCUGCUAAACCGUAAGGUGAUGUAUAGGGGCUGACGCCUGCCCGGUGCUGGAAGGUUAAGAGGAGUGGUUAGCUUCUGCGAAGCUACGAAUCGAAGCCCCAGUAAACGGCGGCCGUAACUAUAACGGUCCUAAGGUAGCGAAAUUCCUUGUCGGGUAAGUUCCGACCCGCACGAAAGGCGUAACGAUUUGGGCACUGUCUCAACGAGAGACUCGGUGAAAUCAUAGUACCUGUGAAGAUGCAGGUUACCCGCGACAGGACGGAAAGACCCCGUGGAGCUUUACUGUAGCCUGAUAUUGAAAUUCGGCACAGCUUGUACAGGAUAGGUAGGAGCCUUUGAAACGUGAGCGCUAGCUUACGUGGAGGCGUUGGUGGGAUACUACCCUAGCUGUGUUGGCUUUCUAACCCGCACCACUUAUCGUGGUGGGAGACAGUGUCAGGCGGGCAGUUUGACUGGGGCGGUCGCCUCCUAAAAGGUAACGGAGGCGCUCAAAGGUUCCCUCAGAAUGGUUGGAAAUCAUUCAUAGAGUGUAAAGGCAUAAGGGAGCUUGACUGCGAGACCUACAAGUCGAGCAGGGUCGAAAGACGGACUUAGUGAUCCGGUGGUUCCGCAUGGAAGGGCCAUCGCUCAACGGAUAAAAGCUACCCCGGGGAUAACAGGCUUAUCUCCCCCAAGAGUUCACAUCGACGGGGAGGUUUGGCACCUCGAUGUCGGCUCAUCGCAUCCUGGGGCUGUAGUCGGUCCCAAGGGUUGGGCUGUUCGCCCAUUAAAGCGGUACGCUAGCUGGGUUCAGAACGUCGUGAGACAGUUCGGUCCCUAUCCGUCGUGGGCGUAGGAAAUUUGAGAGGAGCUGUCCUUAGUACGAGAGGACCGGGAUGGACAUACCUCUGGUGUACCAGUUGUCGUGCCAACGGCAUAGCUGGGUAGCUAUGUAUGGACGGGAUAAGUGCUGAAAGCAUCUAAGCAUGAAGCCCCCCUCAAGAUGAGAUUUCCCAACUUCGGUUAUAAGAUCCCUCGAAGAUGACGAGGUUAAUAGGUUCGAGGUGGAAGCGUGGUGACACGUGGAGCUGACGAAUACUAAUCGAUCGAAGACUUAAUCAAUUUUUAAA